GCCAGGUGUGGCGGCACAUGCCUGUGAUCCCAGAGGCUUAGGAGGCUGAGGCAGGAGGAUCACAAGUUCAAAUCCAGCCUCAGCAAAAGCAAGGCACUAAGCAACUCAGUGAGACUCUGUCUCUA
rnacentral:sRNA from 1 species